rnacentral:rRNA from 1 species
GAACGGGGCCACAGCCCACAGAGGGUGCCAGGCCCGUAGCGACCGCCGCCGAUCGCGGGAGGAUCUCUCCUCAGAGUCGGGUUGCUUGAGAGUGCAGCCCUAAGCGGGUGGUAAACUCCAUCUAAGGCUAAAUACGACCACGAGACCGAUAGCGAACAAGUACCGUGAGGGAAAGUUGAAAAGCACUUUGAAGAGAGAGUUCAAGAGUACGUGAAACCGUUCAGGGGUAAACCUGAGAAACCCGAAAGGUCGAAAGGGGAAAUUCAUUCGCGUUUCGAGCGUGCGUCGGAGCGAGACGAUAAAGUGACGGGCGGCGUACGCGUUCUCCGCGCAUUUCGUCUCGCGAUCCGGCCUCGAACGCGUGCACUUUUCCCCUAGUAGGACGUCGCGAUCCGUCGGGUGUCGGUUUAAGGCUCGCGGUGGAGACCGAGCGCGCGCGCGUACAUCUUCGCGGAUGUUUCGCGCGCGCGUCCGGACCCGCGACGACGACCCGGCCGACCCGCUCGACGGUAUACAGAUGGCGCGGGGCCGCUACCUUAGUUAGCGUUCGGCCCGCGGCAAGCGCGUUCGGAGUUCAGACGGCGUUCGGACCCGGCGCCGAUUCCGUCCCCGAACGACUGUUGGCCGCGGUGUUCUCUGUCUCUCGAACGGACCUCGUUCGUGUAACGCCGAUCUGCGACGCUAUAGCUUUGGGUACUUUCAGGACCCGUCUUGAAACACGGACCAAGGAGUCUAGCAUGUGCGCGAGUCAUUGGGACAUAACUAAACCUAAAGGGCGCAAUGAAAGUGAAGGUCCGCCUCGCGCGGACCGAGGGAGGAUGGGCGGUUAGCGCUUUCGCGCGCGGCCGCUCCGCACUCCCGGGGCGUCUCGUUCUCGUCGCGAG